rnacentral:rRNA from 1 species
GGAACCGAGGCUAAUACCGCAUAAUACCCACGGGUCAAAGGAGCAAUUCGCUUGAGGAGGGGGGUCGCGGCCGAUUAGUUAGUUGGCGGGGUAAUGGCCCCACCAAGACGGUGAUCGGUAUCCGGCCUGAGAGGGCGCACGGACACACUGGAACUGAAACACGGUCCAGACUCCUACGGGAGGCAGCAGUGGGGAAUUUUGCGCAAUGGGGGAAACCCUGACGCAGCAACGCCGCGUGGAGGAUGAAGUCUCUUGGGACGUAAACUCCUUUCGAUCGGGACGAUUAUGACGGUACCGGAAGAAGAAGCCCCGGCUAACUUCGUG